rnacentral:rRNA from 1 species
UACGUAGGGUGCGAGCGUUAUUCGGAAUUACUGGGCGUAAAGCGUGCGUAGGCGGUUCGUUAAGUCUGUCGUGAAAGCUCUGGGCUCAACCUGGGAAUUGCGAUGGAUACUGGCGAGCUAGAGUACGGUAGAGGAUGGUGGAAUUCCCGGUGUAGCGGUGAAAUGCGUAGAGAUCGGGAGGAACACCCGUGGCGAAGGCGGCCAUCUGGACCAGUACUGACGCUGAGGCACGAAAGCGUGGGGAGCAAACAGG